AUUGAACGCUGGCGGCAGGCCUAACACAUGCAAGUCGAACGGUAACAGGAAGCAGCUUGCUGCUUUGCUGACGAGUGGCGGACGGGUGAGUAAUGUCUGGGAAACUGCCCGAUGGAGGGGGAUAACUACUGGAAACGGUAGCUAAUACCGCAUAACGUCGCAAGACCAAAGAGGGGGACCUUAGGGCCUCUUGCCAUCGGAUGUGCCCAGAUGGGAUUAGCUAGUAGGUGGGGUAACGGCUCACCUAGGCGACGAUCCCUAGCUGGUCUGAGAGGAUGACCAGCCACACUGGAACUGAGACACGGUCCAGACUCCUACGGGAGGCAGCAGUGGGGAAUAUUGCACAAUGGGCGCAAGCCUGAUGCAGCCAUGCCGCGUGUAUGAAGAAGGCCUUCGGGUUGUAAAGUACUUUCAGCGGGGAGGAAGGGAGUAAAGUUAACACCUUUGCUCAUUGACGUUACCCGCAGAAGAAGCACCGGCUAACUCCGUG
rnacentral:rRNA from 1 species